rnacentral:rRNA from 1 species
UACGUAGGUGGCAAGCGUUGUCCGGAUUUACUGGGCGUAAAGGGCGCGUAGGCGGCCCUGCAAGUCAAAGGUGAAAUCCCUCGGCUCAACUGAGGAACUGCCUUUGAAACUGCGGGGCUUGAGGCCGGGAGGGGGUAGCGGAAUUCCCAGUGUAGCGGUGAAAUGCGUAGAUAUUGGGAGGAACACCAGUGGCGAAGGCGGCUACCUGGACCGGUUCUGACGCUGAUGCGCGAAAGCGUGGGUAGCAAACAGG